AUUGAACGCUGGCGGCAGGCCUAACACAUGCAAGUCGAACGAGUGGCGGACGGGUGAGUAAUAUCUGGGAAACUGCCUGCUGGAGGGGGAUAACUACUAGAAACGGUAGCUAAUACCGCAUACCCUCAGAUCUGACCAGAUGGGAUUAGCUAGUAGGUGGGGUAAUGGCUCACCUAGGCGACGAUACCUAGCUGGUCUGAGAGGAUGACCAGCCACACUGGAACUGAGACACGGUCCAGACUCCUACGGGAGGCAGCAGUGGGGAAUAUUGCACAAUGGGCGCAAGCCUGAUGCAGCCAUGCCGCGUGUGUGAAGAAGGCCUUCGGGUUGUAAAGCACCUUCAGCGAGGAGGCGUUACUCGCAGAAGAAGCACCGGCUAACUCCGUGCCAGCCGCCGCGGUAAUAC
rnacentral:rRNA from 1 species